CGAACGAGAAAUUUCCGCUUCGGCGGAAAGAGUAAAGUGGCGCACGGGUGAGUAACGCGUGGGUAACCUGCCUUUGAAUCUAGGAUAACCCCGUGAAAACGGGACUAAUACUAGAUAAUGUCCCUUUGGCUUUGGCCUUAGGGAUGAAAGGUGACCUCUUCAUGAAAGUUGUCGUUCAAAGAGGGGCCCGCGUACCAUUAGCUUGUUGGUGGGGUAACGGCCUACCAAGGCUACGAUGGUUAGCUGGUCUGAGAGGAUGAUCAGCCACACUAGAACUGGAACACGGUCCAGACUCCUACGGGAGCAGCAGUGAGGAAUUUUGCGCAAUGGGGGAAACCCUGACGUAGCAACGCCGCGUGAGUGAUGAAGAUUUUCGGAUCGUAAAGCUCUGUCAAGCGGGAAAAAAUGCUUUCGGUCAAUAGCCGGAAGAACUGAUGGUACCGCUGGAGGAAGCACCGGCUAACUCCGUGCCAGCAGCCGCGGUAAUACGGAGGGUGCAAGCGUUGUUCGGAUUUACUGGGCGUAAAGAGCGUGUAGGUGGUUUAACAAGUCAGAUGUGAAAGCCCUGGGCUCAACUCAGGAAGUGCAUUUGAAACUGUUUUUCUAGAGUAUGGGAGAGGAGAGUGGAAUUCCCAGUGUAGAGGUGAAAUUCGUAGAUAUUGGGAGGAACACCGGUGGCGAAGGCGACUCUCUGGACCAAUACUGACACUGAGACGCGAAAGCGUGGGGAGCAAACAGGAUUAGAUACCCUGGUAGUCCACGCCGUAAACGAUGAGAACUAGGUGUAGCGGGUAUUGACCCCUGCUGUGCCGCAGCUAACGCAUUAAGUUCUCCGCCUGGGGAGUACGGCCGCAAGGCUAAAACUCAAAGGAAUUGACGGGGGCCCGCACAAGCGGUGGAGCAUGUGGUUUAAUUCGACGCAACGCGAAGAACCUUACCUGGAUUUGACAUCCUCUUGCCACCCUGGAAACAGGGUUUAUCCGACUUGUCGGAAGAGAGUGACAGGUGCUGCAUGGCUGUCGUCAGCUCGUGUCGUGAGAUGUUGGGUUAAGUCCCGCAACGAGCGCAACCCUUGUCUCUAGUUGCCAGUAUUAAGUUAGGGACUCUAGAGAGACUGCCUCGGUUAACGGGGAGGAAGGUGGGGAUGACGUCAAGUCCUCAUGGCCUUUAUAUCCAGGGCUACACACGUGCUACAAUGGGCUGUACAAAGGGUAGCUAACUCGCGAGAGUACGCCAAUCCCAAAAAGCAGUUCUCAGUUCGGAUUGGAGUCUGCAACUCGACUCCAUGAAGUUGGAAUCGCUAGUAAUCGUGGAUCAGCAUGCCACGGUGAAUACGUUCCCGGGCCUUGUACACACCGCCCGUCACACCACGAAAGUCGACUGUACCAGAAGUUGCUGGGCUAACCCUUCGGGGAGGCAGGUACCCACGGUACGGCCGGUAAUUGGGGUGAAGUCGUAACAAGGUA
rnacentral:rRNA from 1 species